rnacentral:rRNA from 1 species
CACGGGGGGAGCAAGCGUUGUUCGGAAUCACUGGGCGUAAAGGGCGUGUAGGCGGUCAAGUAAGUGGAAUGUGAAAGCCCCGGCUUACCCGGGGGAUCUGCAUCCCAAACUGCUUGGCUUUGAGUACGGGAGAGGAUAGGGGAAUUUCCUGGUGUAGCGGUGAAAUGCGUAGAUAUUGGGAGGAACACCGAUGGCGAAGGCAGCUCUCUGGACCGUUACUGACGCUGAGGCGCGAA